GCGUUGGAGUCCAGUCCACACUGUAUGUGAUGCUAUUAUGUUUUUCUCUUGUUGCAUUUAUCAUUGAUAUCUACAGUUGUGUAAAUCUGAUUUUGCUUAUUAACUAUAGGGUGGAAUAUUUUCUUUGCUUAUAAUUGUUUGUUCUCUUUGUUUGUAUUUGUUGAGAAUGCUAAAAGCUGCACAGUUAUAGCAUCAUGGAAUUCAUGAAAUUUGAUUUUGUUUUCCACUCGUUUCUAACAUCUAACCAUUGGAAGGCUGCAAUUAUUUGGAAAAGCCAUCUUGCAAUUCUGAAUUACUUCUUCUUUCGUUCAUGAGGAUGAGUGCCAGAAGAGAUAUGCAUAUGGUAACUCUUUGCCUUAAUGCAUGUUUUUAAUCAACUUUCUGGCAUGAUCAUCUGAUGGCCAUUCUGAUUGGCAGUGCAUCUUGUUGAUGGGCAAUUGUAAGGACAGAAAACUUGAAAUCACUGCAGGACUGAAUUGCAUAUCAACUCUUAGGGGUUUAACUGUAGCCCAGAUUGAGGUGCAUUUUCCUGAGCCCCGGCAUAACUCUAGUUUACAAGAGAUCACAUGGGUUGGGGUUACUAAAUAUUGUGUACCCAUCUCGUGCAUGGGAAACUGAAGCAGCCAAUUUAUUAAGGAAAUGAAAAAUGGUGGUGACUUUGAUCUCGUAAAUGACAAAAUGAAGGUGAAUUUUUUGACUUGAUCAUCUUUAUGUCUUCGACCAAAGGGAGAAGCUAAUGAAAGUCAGAAAAUCGGGAAAGUACUUUGUCAAGCAGCAUGGGUGGAGAGUCAUAUAUUUCUGUUGUGCCAGACAUGUUGAUUGUGUGGAUCUUCCUGUGCUAUUACGUGAUUUCACCACUAAACUAGAAAACUCACUACAAAGGAAGGUCCCAACAAGUAGUAAUUUUAUGAAGUAGUGAUAUAUA
rnacentral:misc_RNA from 1 species